GGGGGACCAUCCUCCAAGGCUAAAUACUCCUGACUGACCGAUAGUGAACCAGUACCGUGAGGGAAAGGCGAAAAGAACCCCGGCGAGGGGAGUGAAAAAGAACCUGAAACCGUGUACGUACAAGCAGUGGGAGCCUCUUUAUGGGGUGACUGCGUACCUUUUGUAUAAUGGGUCAGCGACUUAUAUUCUGUAGCAAGGUUAACCGAAUAGGGGAGCCGAAGGGAAACCGAGUCUUAACUGGGCGUUAAGUUGCAGGGUAUAGACCCGAAACCCGGUGAUCUAGCCAUGGGCAGGUUGAAGGUUGGGUAACACUAACUGGAGGACCGAACCGACUAAUGUUGAAAAAUUAGCGGAUGACUUGUGGCUGGGGGUGAAAGGCCAAUCAAACCGGGAGAUAGCUGGUUCUCCCCGAAAGCUAUUUAGGUAGCGCCUCGUGAAUUCAUCUCCGGGGGUAGAGCACUGUUUCGGCAAGGGGGUCAUCCCGACUUACCAACCCGAUGCAAACUGCGAAUACCGGAGAAUGUUAUCACGGGAGACACACGGCGGGUGCUAACGUCCGUCGUGAAGAGGGAAACAACCCAGACCGCCAGCUAAGGUCCCAAAGUCAUGGUUAAGUGGGAAACGAUGUGGGAAGGCCCAGACAGCCAGGAUGUUGGCUUAGAAGCAGCCAUCAUUUAAAGAAAGCGUAAUAGCUCACUGGUCGAGUCGGCCUGCGCGGAAGAUGUAACGGGGCUAAACCAUG
rnacentral:rRNA from 1 species